rnacentral:tRNA from 1 species
GCCUGGGUGGCUCAGUCCGUUGAGCGUCCGACUCCGGCUCCGGUCACCCUCUCGCGGUCCGUGGGUUCGAGCCCCACGUCGGGCU